rnacentral:lncRNA from 10 species
GAUGGACAGGAGAGGAGAAAGCGGAUGGCAACAAGAUAAGGAAACUGAAGGGGCAAAAGGUGAGACUGCCCAAAGUCACAGGGUAGUGACGCCCUGACAGAGGCAGAGCUCAGUUCUAGACUGUCCAGCCCCAGAGGCCAAGCUCUGAACCCCAGGCCAGGCUGGCAGGAAGAAGCGGAGGCUCAUCAAGAAUGGCGGCUGGAGGGACGAGCACUCAGCUCAGCUUAUCAAAUCCUUCCUGAGCAUCUGCUGGCUGCUGGGUGUUCUCCUGGAUGGGAGAGAAGACAUGGCCCCAGGCCCAGAGAAAUGAAGUGCUCAGGAGGACAUGACCCGACCGAGUACGCGAUGAGAGACGGCGAGGACUUGGUGAAUCCCAGCAGGCAGGGACUCAGAGAGUGGGAGGGUGAAGAGUCAUUAAGAUGGCAGGUUUGGGUGUGUGAGCAAAUGGAACUGACACCCUCAACAGAUGAAGAGAAACUGGAAGAGUCUGCUCUAGGGGGAAUGCGAGCAAACACGGCGCUUGCCAUUUCCAAG